UACGAAGGGGGCGAGCGUUGUUCGGAUUUACUGGGCGUAAAGGGCGCGUAGGCGGCGCGAGAAGUCGGGUGUGAAAUCUCGGAGCUUAACUCCGAAACUGCAUUCGAUACUGCCGUGCUUGAGGACUGGAGAGGAGACUGGAAUUUACGGUGUAGCGGUGAAAUGCGUAGAUAUCGGGAGGAACACCGGUGGCGAAGGCGGGUCUCUGGGCAAUUCCUGACGCUGAGGCGCGAAAGCGUGGGGAGCAAACGGG
rnacentral:rRNA from 1 species